AUAAAUAAUACGGCAAAAUCUCGAUAGCUUUUGUAUUACUAUCAUUCCCAAUAUAAAGUUCUUAAGUGAUAAUUUCUCCAUCAGCUUGGGUUUGUCUUCCGAUGUCUAUGCUAAUCAUUCAUUUUUUUUUGUGCUUAAAUUAACCUUUGAGCAGCCACAUGCCUGUAACUCACGCAGACCUCGUGCGUCAGCGCGCAUUGCUGAAACGCAAGAUCACCCUUGCACUCGGUAAGGAGGGUAGCCCAAAUGUCUCUUCCGACCCCUUGAUACAAACUCUCAAUGAUUUACUGAGUAAGGUGAGCGCUAUCGAUGAAACUAUUAAUGCUGAGCUCCUCGCGGGCACAAGUGAUGAAAUUUCCGAGCAGCUUGACAGUGAACUCGCGAGCCAGACUAAUUAUCACCUGGAAAUUAAAACUAAAAUUGAUAAUCUUGCUACUAAGCCUAAACCUAAGUUCAAUGAGGUCAGCCAUGACUUGAAACUUCCUCAUCUAUCCUGUGAUCAUUUUUCCGGGGAAGGAACAGAUAAUUUGGAAUACCAUAAAUUCAUUGUUCAAUUUAAUAAUAUUAUUGGCUUGAGAACCUCUCUAUCUAAUUCGGUAAAGUUCACUUAUCUUAAAGGCUACUUGCGGGGCUAUGCGCUGAAAUUAAUUAACCAUUUGCAAAUUACUGAUGACAACUAUACAAUUGCACUUGAAUUGCUUGAAGCUGAAUUUUUGAACAGAGAUGCUCUCGUCAGCGAGCUUUACCAGAAACUCCUGGAAAGUAAACCUAAAUUUGAUACAACUUACAUGCAAACAAAAUUGUUCAUUAACGAAGUGCGAUGUUUACUUGCCGAUUUGAAAGUUUAUAAGAAGGACUUGAUGGCAGAACCUGCUAGCAAGCAUUUCAUUUCGCAUAUUAUCUUCAGCAAGUUGCCUAUGCCUGUACGGCAAGAAAUGGUUCGUAAAGUUGGAAACAAUUACCCUGGCAUUGAUGAUAUUUUCAGUAACUACGUUGAUGUAAUUAAAACUUUAACUUUGCGUGCCCCAGCUAAAGAUUUGACCACUUACGAUAAAUCCGGCACUAUUUCGAAGAAACGAAACGACGUAACUGAUGCUGAAAGUAAAAUUUGUGCGACUAAGCCAGUUAUGCUAAAUGCGUGUUCAGCGAUUCGAGGGACCUGUAAAUUUUGUUCGUCCAAGGAUCACUCGAUGUUUAAAUGCCCCAAUUACACGUCGAACGCCGCUAGAGUGCGUAGGUGCAAAGAGUUGCGCAUGUGUUCUAUGUGUUCCAGUUCUAAGCAUGACAGUGGAGCGUGCUCGGCUAAACUAGAUUAUCCCUGUAAUAUCUGUUCUUCGGAUAAACAUAUUUCUGCUUUGUGUACAAAGUAUGUACCCGAGAGAACGUUAGGAAACGUUUGUCUUAAUAACGCUAGUGUGUGUGGAGGCUACGUGCUACCCACCCUAACCAUCAAAGUAUGUCGUGGCAAAGCUGUUUCUCAUGUACGAUGCUUGAUAGACACUGGCAGCCAGAGAUCUUACCUUAAAGAAAGCGUCUUGACCAAACUUGGUUAUUCCCAAGAAGUUGAAGAGAAACCUUACAACGUUUCCUCCUUCCUCAAUUCUGGUGUGCGACAGUUGUCAGAAGCAAAUCUAUCUGUGAAUUUCUGUGACAGUUUGGAUAAUUUUCAAUUGACUUUCUUGAUUGAUAAAAGAUUUUCCCUUGAAUUUUCUGUCAAUGGACUUAAUGAUGCCAUUAAUAAUUUGAAGAGUGAAUUUUCACUGGCAGAUACUGCCUUCUUGACAGGCAGCAGCCAGGAGACCUGCAAGCUGGAUGGCAUUCUUGGCGUCGAUGCUAUUCAAUUCUUUACAAAUUUCUCUCUGAUCUCGUGUCGCAAGGGUGCAGCCUUCCAGUAUUCUGGAGGAAUAAUACCUUUUGGUCAGGUAGAGAAUUUCUUGGACAAACGUCAAAUUAAAUCUUUGACAGAGUCUAAAAUUAGACAAACUGUACUCGAAGAAAGCCAAGUCAACUUCUUGAUUGAGGAUAAAACUCAAAUUUAUCUAUCUGACUUAGAUAACAAUGAUGUAGAUGCCAAACUUGACAACCUCUUCAAGGUUGAAUCCCUAGGUUUGAAAGAAGAGACUUCCGAUUACGACACCGAACAAAUUGCCAAGUUCAGUGAAUCGGUAGAAUUGAUUGAUGGGCAUUAUAACAUUGAAAUUCCUUGGGAUGUUGAUAAACUUUAAACUGUUGAUAAUGGGUUUAAUGUUGCCAUGUCUGUGCUCCCAAAGGUUGCUGAGAAGCUAAAGAAAAAUGACCUGUUCGAUUCUUACGAUGCCGUUUUCAGACAGCAGGUUAAAGACGAUAUCCUGGAAGAAGUAAACUUGCAGGAAAUAAACACAGCCGAGCACACAUGGAUACCUCAUCGUCCAGUGGUACGACACGGAGACCAGGUCACCACGAAAGUAAGACCUGUUCUUAAUUGCAGUUUCAAAUCGAGGGAUUCGCGUUCUUUGAAUGAGUGUGCAUAUCCUGGCGUAAAUUUGCUACAGACCAUCUUUUUCCUUUUGAUUAGCUUGAGGUUCAAUACCUAUUUGAUGCUUUCUAACAUAAAGCAGGCAUUUUUGCAAAUCAAACUUAAAUCUAUCUUUGAUCGAAACCGUUUCUCUGUGCUGUGGUAUGAUGAGUACGGUAAACUUGCUGCUUAUCGUUAUAAAGCCUUGGUAUUUGGAUUUGUGUCCUCGCCAUUCAUUUUGAAUUACAUUAUUAAAUUACAUGUUGCCAAAUAUCCGCUUGAUCUGUGUUCAAAGUUCUUGGCUAACCAUUUUUACGUGGAUAACUUGAUAAUUACUGGUAAUGAUCCUAAUGUGCUGUGCGACCUGUAUAGGGAAUCUUGCCGGCGUAUGAGGGAGGGCGGAUUUGAGUUGCGCUCCUGGUCGUCCAAUUGUCCUUCAGUUAACGCUUUAUUUUCCAGCGACGGUAACGCCGCUGUUCAUGGUUCUGAUCACGAAAAAUUACUGGGUUACCGCUAUUAUGCGGAAACUGAUGAGAUGAAACUUGCUGAAAUUACUCCACCAGACGGUAAGCCCUGCAAGAGAUCUGUCUUGUCAUUUCUUGGCAAACUGUUCGACCCAUUAGGGUUGUUUUUUCCUGUCAUUGCUAGCUGCAAAAUUCUUUUAAGAGACCUAUGGCUGAGCAAAGUUGGUUGGGAUGAUGCCUUGAGUACAGAGAUGUUAGGGCGGUGGCAGAAGCUUACCGCUAAUGUAUUGCAGCUAAAUUCUUUUUCAUUUCUACGUAUGGUUGCGAAAGAUCAGGAUCCAGCUUCAUUAGUUAUAUUUACUGACGCUUCAAAGGUCAUGUAUGGAUUUUGUGCAUACUUAAAACCUACUUGUUCUUCAAGUAAACUGAACUUGAUUUUUGCUAAAGGCAAAAGUGCUCCUCUGAAGGCCAAAACCAUACCUACCUUGGAGUUGUUGGCAGUCUUUUUGGCUCUGAAGUGCAUUUUCAAUUUGCUGCAAUCUCUAGGUCCAGUGAGUUUGCGUGAGCUUCUCAUUUGCGUUGAUUCUCAGGUUGUCCUCUCUUGGAUAUUGUCAGGAAAAGUAAAGUCAAAGAACAUCUUCGCUCGCAAUCGUGUCAGGGACAUUAGACAGUUAAUUGUGGAUGUGGAAGAGAAAUUCAACCUCUGCAUCAAAUUUCGCUACAUUUGUUCCUCUGAUAAUCCAGCUGAUAUGGUUUCGAGAGGCGUUACUGCUGCUGAGUUUCAGAGAAAGUUAGAGUUUUGGAAGCAUGGACCUCAAUUUUUGGAUGAGAAUCCAAUAGCUUGGUCAGCCGGUCAUACUGGAUGUUUCUCUGACCGCACCAUCAGUCUCACAACCAACGCUGCUAUUACUGAAACAAAGGAAUCCUUAUUUGAGAUAAAUAGAUUUUCUUCAUUAAAAACCUUGAUCUCUGUAACUGCAUUCAUUUACUUGUUCAUAGCCAAGAUUCGAAAACUAUCAACCGAUUUCAUGGACUGUGUCACUAAAGCUAAAUUGUAUUGGAUUAAAAGAGAGCAGUCUGUACAUCUCUCUGGGGUCAUUGAAUACUUGCAUUGUCCCUCUAAGCAGGUCCCUAACCUGGUUCGUAACCUUAAUCUUUUUCUUGACCAGGAUGGGAUUCUGCGUGCCAAGGGCAGAUUGGACAAAUGCCAUAAUUUGAAUUACGAACAAAGAAACCCUAUAUUACUUCCUAAGGAAAGCUAUUUAACCGAAUUGUUUAUAUGGGAUUCACAUUAUUCCUGUUGUCACUUGGGUGUAAAGUCCACAUUGAAUCACGUCAGAAGCGGUGGACUCUGGAUUCUGCAUGGCAGAGCCGCAGUGAAGAAAAUCCUGAAUAAAUGUGUCAUCUGCAGGAAAAUUAACGCCUUGCCUUUCAAACAGCCCAAGUUGACUGAUUUUCAUCGUGACAGAGUUAAUUUCACUUUGCCUUUCAGGAACACCGGAGUCGAUUUCACGGGUGCCUUGAAUGUUCGGUAUGGAGAUAAGGUAGUGAAAUUUUACAUUCUGAUUUUCACGUGUCUUAAUAUUAGAUCUGUUCACUUGGAACUUCUUCCUGAUAUGUCCACCGACAGUUUCUUGUUGGCCUUUAAGAGGUUCUGUAACGCUCAGAUCGUGCCUUCUGUUUUGUACAGUGACAACGCAAGCACCUUUUUGAAGGCCGGAAAUAUUCUGUCGAAGCUCAACUUAGAUUGUUCCCUUUCUAAAUUCUUAAUUAAACACAAUAUCAGACACAAAACAAUUCCCUUGUAUUCUCCAUGGGUUGGUUCUUUAUGGGAACGAAUGAUAAGGGUCGUGAAAAAUUGCUUGUUUAAGAGCAUCGGUAGGAAGAAAUUAGAAUAUUUCCAAUUAAUUACUUUGUUGUCAGAUAUUCAAAAUGUAGUGAAUUCCCGUCCUUUAACUUACCUGGAAGACACCGAUGGUCCUAGUUUUAACGUUCUAACGCCUAAUUCUUUCUUGAAACCUCCUCAGGGUGUUAGCGCUGUUGUAAUGCCGUCAUUAGAAGAACCAUUUGUAGCAACCCGUGGAGUUGCUAUGGAGUCUUGGCAGAAUAGAGUUGAAAUCUUUAACCAAUUCAAAGAAAUUUGGUUCGAUGAUUAUCUCCUUUCUCUUAGGGAACUAGGGAGAGACUUGUUUAAUUAUAAAUGGUGCAAUAAGAUUCAUUGCAAUGAAAUUGUGUUGAUAGCUUCACAAACUGAAACCCGGCCAUUUUGGCAGCUCGGUCGAGUAGUUGAAGUUAUUGUCGGGGCCGAUAGCUGCGCUCGAUCUGCUAAAGUUUGUCGUCCCGACGGUUCGGAGGGCAUUUAUUCAAUUAAUCUGCUGUAUCCUCUUGAGCUUUCCAUGGCAGAGGCCGAGGGCGAUCGAGAGGUGGCAGAAGGUGAAGCUGAGGCCGAGAGCGUGCGACUUUCGUUGGAGCGACCACAACGUAAAGCCGCAUUAGAAUCAAUAGCACAAUUUCAGCUCAAUGGAAUCUUCACAGCUUUGUGUGGUGUCUUACUUGCUUGGUAGCCGCAAGACAUGGAUGGUUCCUAGAGUGGGAAGCACCAUGGAACUGAUGCAUCAGUUGCAAAACCUGGAGGGUUGUCCCACAUCGAGCAUGUCUGUGCAAUGUGCUGGUCAUGUUCUGCAGCCUCAUGAUGUUUUGCCGACUGUGGACUCAACCAU
rnacentral:misc_RNA from 1 species